rnacentral:rRNA from 1 species
GACGAACGCUGGCGGCGUGCUUAACACAUGCAAGUCGAGCGGAGAGGCGCACGGGUGAGUAACGCGUGAGUAACCGCCCCCCUCUCUGGGGUAAACGUUGGAAACGGCUGCUAAUAACCGCAAGUGGGGGAUGACUCGGGGCCUAUCAGCUUGUUGGUGGGGUAGUGGCCUCCCAGGGCGACGGCUGUUACCCGGCCGGGGAGGGGGACCGGCCACAUUGGUCUGAGAUACGACCCAGACUCGUACGGGGGGCAGCAGUGGGGAAUAUUGCACAAUGGGGGAGACCCUGAUGCAGCAACGCCGCGUUCGGGAUGACGGCUUUCGGGUUGUAAACCGCUUUCAGCCAUGACGCGGUAGUGGCAGAAGAAGCACCGGCUAACUACGUGCCAGCAGCCGCGGUAAUAC